rnacentral:lncRNA from 1 species
GCCGCCCUCGGUCCCUCGCGAGGCCACGGAGGCCAACACGCCUCGCACGGGGGGACAGCGCGGGGGCAGCCGUCCAAACACCAGGCGUCCUCGGCUGGUCGUCCCAGGGCGCCCGCACCUCUCCGCCCGCGCUCUCCUGCCGCCGCGCCCCCAAGCCCCCAAACUCCGAGGCGCUGCGGCGGAGGGGCCGGGCUGAGCGCAGGCAGGGUGGCCCGGGCCCAGGAGCCUGACGGCCUGAGUGCGGAUUUCUCAUCUGAGUAUCUGGGAAUCGAGAAUGAAUUGGAAGGAAACCGAGGCGCUGCCCUGGCCAGGUUGCUGCCCCGCACCCUUCCGGAGCACCGAAGUCCUGCCCGGCAACGGGACUUGGAGCUGCCGCAGAGUCAGCCUGAGCCCGAGGCAGGGGUCGCGCCCGCGAUGCGGGGUCUCUGCGCCGCCCCGCGAGGCUCCUGGCCUUGCCCUCCCUGCCCUUUGUUGUGUAAUAAGACCUGUGGCGGCUCCACUGAGACCCACACGUGCAACUCCGCGCCUCCGCGUUAAAGGAGGUGAAACGCAGCAGCCCUGAGAAACCCCGAGACCCCGGUGUCCUAGCAGAGGCGCCCCGGAUGGGGAGGGGCGCGGGGCCGGCGCCACCCCAGAGGAAAAGCCCAGCGGAGCCGGGUUGGGCAGGAGCUGGCGGCGGCGGUGCGCUGGGCCUUCUGCCUUGGAUCCUCCGCGGUCGGCACCGCUUCCCUGCUCAGAUUCGAACCCAGAUUCGGCUCCCAAGGCUCCCACGGCUCCAGGGUGCCCAGUCUUGCAGCCAGCUCGCCGCCCGAGCCCCGGAUGGAGGAAGCGCUCACUGGCCGCUACCUCUGCUGUUUCUGGCACCAGAGAUUGAGACUGUGAACCUGAACUCCCUUGAUCUCCUCCCGUUGGGCCCAGGAGGGAGCCGAAUCCAGGCCCAACCGGGCUCACUGAGAAGGUGCAGGAAGCCCCCAACGACUCCUACUCGUGUGCGGCCCAUACUGGGCCAGGACGCUGCAGUGGCCGAGCCGCUGGGUGUCUGCAACGGGGAGCUCCCCCGCCGCUGGGGGCAAUAAACGGAAUCGGUUUC